AAGCCGAGUACCAGAGCGACUCCACCUCCAGGCCCACCUCUUCUGCCACCUCUCGCCGGACUGUCUCCUCCACAUUUUCACCUAGGAGCAACAAAAGUUAGACCCUGUAUGUCCGAGGCCACCACGCCGGAUCAGAGACCGCCUUACCCAUGUCGCAGAAGCCUGACAGAGCAGUGUACAUCCCCUGGGGAAACAAGGGCUGUCGUGCGAGGAGGCACCGGCUCCCAUCAGACACCAGGGUAAUAACCACUGGAGACAUCUAGCAAAUGCAUCAAAAAGCAAAGCAAGAAGUUCAGACCAAACAAGUUCCCCUCCAUGCGACCCAGACCCUGUGUUGCUUACCUGUUCAGGUGCUCACCUGUGGAUAGUAAGUUAUUCCGCUGGCAUGGCAGACACGCUUGCUGCCAGCUAUGUUUUUCUGAGUGGGCUGCCCGGUUUUGCUACAGUACUGGUGGGAAUCGUGCCACCGGAGAAGGGACUGCGCCUGCGAACACCCAGAGAGAAACGCAAAUCUUACUUAUACCUGGGGCAAAGAGAUGAUUCAAUCUCCCUGAAUGAUACUUUGCUGUCUUCUUCCCAGCAUGGAUAAACUCUGAUUCUGUUUGGAAGCCUCAGAAAGAACUCGAAGCCCUUUAAGGAGGAAGUUACAUUUGCUUCGAUUUACAGACACAUAAGCAGUGCCAGAGAAGAGUCUGAGAGUCCUUCCUUUCGGUAAAGGAACCACAAUGCCAGAUUUUGGUUCGGCUCACUGAAAACUCAGAGACAGUAAAAACUUGAUCUCAGGAGGCCAGCCCAAACUCCCAUCAUGCAUGCAAGCCUCGCCUACACUGUACGCCCGCAGGAGAUACUGUACUCCAUGCGAGAUGCAAUCCUGUGAGUGAAGUGAAGGCCUGGCCAUACAAACGCGUCUCUGACAGCUUCCUCUCGCUUACUAAUUUGAGCUUUGGCAGGCCACCAGAGGAAGUGAAUCCCUGAGACUCUCUUGAUGCAAGAAGAGCAAACAAAAGGAGCAGGCAAGGAGGCCACAAGCAGCGGGAACAAAUACUUGCGAUCUCUUACAUGGACAAGAUUGCAAAAUAGGCAAAUCUUUGGUCCUGUGUCACUAAGUUGGUUUUUUUUUUUUAUAUCUGGGUUUGUAAAAUACACAUAUUGGUAUUAGCAGUUGGUAAAAGAUUUUUUCCAAGCCAAAGAUGUGGCUGGAAAAUGUAAUUCUAGGCUAAUAAUGGUUAUACUAGUAAUCUUGCUUUUUCUUGCUGUUCUGGUUUGUGUCUUUCCAGCUGCCCCCAAUAAGCAGAAACAAGCAUUAGAAUUGCUAACAGCUGGCCCUUGCAAAACAACUGUUAAUUGCUGCAAAUACAUAAAACUAGCAACCUCCCAUUGAAAACUUAUGGUCAAGCCACAAGAAACCUCUUGGUACAAAAAUAUUUCUUUUUUAGGAAGAGCCCAAGGAAAGACAAACCACUUCUUUAAAGAGAAAGUUAAUGAGUACUCUUUCCCUCUAUCAUUAAAUUUUAGAUGCAAACUAACCAAAUCUGACCUUGCUCUAAAGUUAGGCUUGCAGCGUAUAUUAUGUUUAUGAGGGACUCCUACAGUUUCUCGUACUCAGGGUGGGGACCUUGAAAGACAGAAACUGCUUAAUUUGAUGCUGCUGAUUACAACUUGCACAGGUGUAGAGGAGGCACCUCUGAAUGACAUUUUAGUAGGAUUUGCUUAUUUUAGCUUAUUGGGGUAGCACGUGUGUGUAUUCUCUCUUUUCCCCUCCCUGCUGCUGCUGGUCAAGGAAGAUCCUCAAACUCUGGCACUGAUUUGCCACAGUGCACAGAAUAAUGGAUGAUACAGGAUACUUUCUCUUGACUGCAGGUGAUGACUUCAUUUUGUGUCAUUUCAUUGACACAACACUGUUUGGAUGUGUGGGAAACUAGAUGAGGCUUUAUCCCUUUACAAAGUGUAAUCCUAAGUUGUUAAUACACUUAAAAAAGCUGAGCAGUGCUGUGAGCUAGCUCAGUAUAUGAAAAUCACUCACCUGUGUCUUCAACGCUGCUUGCAGGUCACGGCCCAUUGUCUCUAAAAGGAUACUGAAGAACUGGAAAAGGUUGAAAGAGGUCAAGGAGCAUGAUCAAAGACCUGGAAUACGGCCCCUGCAAGGAACUAGGUAGGCUCUGAUACUUCAGCCUGCAUAAAGGAUAGGUGCUAACUGUUUUGUGUCUCUUCCCCUGUGUAGGAACCUGGUUAAUCAAAUCUUAACUACCUGGAGCCACGUUCCCGGUGAACAAACAGAGGUGGUUUUCCAUGCCUUGGCUAAGGGAUGGCGCAACUGCUAGCUUUUGAAUACUGCCUUGCACGACGCCUUAGUGAUCAGCAAAGUUUAGAUGAAGGCCCUGGAAGGAGGGGAGGCUGCUUCAGACACGGAAUCUGGAAACAUCGUCACCUGGGCUAGAGAAGGUAUUGGCUACCAGCAAGGACUUGGAUGAUGGAACAGAAAGUGCGCUGUGAAAUACAGCGGGAUGACA